GGCCCCGUCGUUCAAAGGAUAGGACGCCAGCUUGCGGAGCUGGCAAUAGAGGUUCGAUUCCUCUCGGGGUCA
rnacentral:tRNA from 1 species